GGGAGGCGCGGGGGAGGCCAGCGGGAACCGGGGCGCCAGCAGCAGCAGCAGCAGCAGCAGCAGCAGCCUGUGUCGGCGGAGAGCAGUCGGGCGCAACCGGAGCCGCAGUCGCGAUGGCCGUGGCUGUGGGGAGACCGAGUAAUGAGGAGCUUCGAAACUUAUCGCUUUCUGGCCAUGUUGGAUUUGACAGUCUCCCUGACCAGCUGGUCAACAAAUCCACUUCUCAAGGAUUCUGUUUCAACAUCCUGUGUGUGGGUGAGACGGGGAUUGGCAAAUCCACGUUGAUGGACACUUUAUUCAACACCAAAUUUGAAAGUGACCCAGCUACUCACAACGAGCCAGGUGUCCGGUUGAAAGCCAGAAGUUACGAACUUCAGGAGAGCAAUGUCCGGCUGAAGCUCACCAUUGUGGACACGGUGGGAUUUGGAGACCAGAUUAAUAAAGAUGACAGCUAUAAACCUAUCGUGGAAUACAUUGAUGCCCAGUUUGAGGCCUACUUGCAAGAGGAAUUGAAAAUUAAACGUUCUCUCUUCAACUACCAUGACACGAGGAUUCACGCCUGCCUUUACUUCAUCGCCCCCACGGGACAUUCACUGAAGUCCCUGGACCUGGUCACCAUGAAGAAGCUAGACAGCAAGGUGAACAUCAUUCCAAUCAUUGCAAAAGCUGACACCAUUGCCAAGAACGAAUUGCACAAAUUCAAGAGUAAGAUCAUGAGUGAACUGGUCAGCAACGGAGUCCAGAUCUAUCAGUUCCCCACAGACGAGGAGACGGUGGCCGAGAUCAACGCAACGAUGAGUGUCCAUCUCCCCUUUGCGGUGGUUGGCAGCACGGAAGAAGUGAAGAUUGGCAACAAGAUGGCCAAGGCCAGGCAGUACCCUUGGGGUGUGGUGCAGGUUGAGAAUGAAAACCACUGUGAUUUUGUGAAGCUGCGGGAGAUGCUGAUCCGGGUGAACAUGGAGGACCUGCGGGAGCAGACGCACACGCGCCACUAUGAGUUGUACCGGCGUUGUAAGCUUGAGGAAAUGGGCUUCAAGGACACGGACCCCGACAGCAAGCCCUUCAGCCUGCAGGAGACGUAUGAAGCAAAAAGGAACGAGUUCCUGGGAGAGCUGCAGAAGAAGGAGGAGGAGAUGAGGCAGAUGUUUGUCAUGAGAGUGAAGGAGAAGGAGGCGGAGCUUAAAGAGGCGGAGAAAGAGCUUCAUGAGAAGUUCGACCUCCUGAAGCGGACACACCAAGAGGAGAAGAAAAAGGUGGAAGACAAGAAGAAGGAGCUUGAGGAGGAGGUGAGCAACUUCCAGAAGAAGAAGGCGGCCGCCCAGCUCCUGCAGUCCCAGGCCCAGCAGUCCGGGGCCCAGCAGACCAAGAAGGACAAGGAUAAGAAAAAGUAAGCAGGUGUCGCCCGCCUCCUGGGGACCGCUAACACUCUCUUCUCUUGCAUGUCCACCUUUCCUACUCACAGACUGGAGACUGGUCUGUUGCCAGAGAAAUAAAAGCAAGUAUUUUUCUCGACGGUGCAGGGAAGAGGGCAGAAGUUUUUAAGGUAUUUCUGAAGGGUACAGGGAUUAAUUAUAGACGUCACGGGGGCCAUCAAGCAGUCAGGACUGGAGUACCCUGUCGGCUCUUCGUGUAGCAGCUUCAGUACCCACCCCGGGAGACGCAGGGAAGACGGGCUGGCUUCUCUGAGUGCCUCUGGAGACGUUCUCCUGACUCUUGGUAAAAGAGCGUUCUAAAUUCCCAGUUGUUCUCGGGGUUCUCUGCCCUGUUAGCAUGGCGAGCCAGCUACCGAAUGUUGUUCCAAAGUGCAGCUAGGGGGCGCUGGGCUUUUUUCUAAAUUCGACAAGCUGGACGAUUAUCUUAUUGUGCAAACUCAACCAAAAUGCCACCCGUUUAGCAUAGCCCCAGCAGCCCUCAUGGCACCCCUGAGCCCCACACGGAGCAGUUUCAACACAGCCUUGAUUUCAAGUGCCAAAGGGCCCGAGGCUGCUCUUGUGUCGUCACUUCCGGUGGCACACCACACCCCCCCAUCCCCGACCCCCAGCAGCCGUCAGAAACCAGCGGAGAGGUGCGCUUCUUGAACUUGUGUGAUUUGAAGCUGUCCCUCGAGUCACCUUCAAGAGCAGAGGGGGGGUAGUGUUGCGACAGUAGCUGUGGGCUUGACAGCUUCUUCUUUAUGUAGCCAUCCCGUUGCCAAGCCCUACUCUCUCUUAAUGGACAGCAUUAGAAGAGCAGGAGCUGUCUGCUCACACGAGUUGGGGAAGAGUUACCUCAUUUCCGUCAUCGCCUCCCGUCCUUUACAGUCUGGGUCAAAUAUUGCACUGCUGUUUGUAUUUGUCAUUGUCUGUUUACAAACCACCACCCUCAGUGGCUCCUGAAGUGACUUCAACUACCAAAAAUAGUGACAAUAUUAUUGAAAGUGAAAUAGAGAACCUGGGUCCAAACCCCGGGUCUCGGGCUGGAAUGCUCUUGCCUAGCUGCCAUAUUCUUGAACCUCCUGAUCUAAGACCUUAUGGACCGAAGAGAGCAUGUACCCCACUUGAGGUGGGCACCACCUGUGGGGCAAACUUAGCUCAUGGUACCCCUUGAUCUCUAUCCCUCUGGCAACUCUGACCAGCCCCAUCAGGAUCCUCAGCCAUCAGCAGGUCCUAAGAGUGGGACAACCCUUGCCUUCUGUUAGUUUUGUGGGUUGUUUCGGUUUGGGAUUAAAGAAAAAGUAUUUGCUAUUGCAUGUACAGAG